UACGUAGGCAGCGAGCGUUGUUCGGAGUUACUGGGCGUAAAGGGUGUGUAGGCGGUUGUUUAAGUUUGGUGUGAAAUCUCCCGGCUCAACUGGGAGGGUGCGCCGAAUACUGAAUGACUUCGAGUGCGGGAGAGGAGAGUGGAAUUCCUGGUGUAGCGGUGAAAUGCGUAGAUAUGACAUAGAACACCGAUUGCGAAGGCAGCUAGCUGCGCCUAUAUUGACUCUGAGGCUCGAAAGCGUGGGGAUCAAACAGG
rnacentral:rRNA from 1 species